rnacentral:rRNA from 1 species
CCUACGGGGUGCAGCAGUGGGGAAUAUUGGACAAUGGGCGAAAGCCUGAUCCAGCCAUGCCGCGUGUGUGAAGAAGGCCUUCGGGUUGUAAAGCACUUUCAGUGGGGAAGAAAGCCUUGGGGCUAAUACCCUCGAGGAAGGACAUCACCCACAGAAGAAGCACCGGCUAACUCCGUGCCAGCAGCCGCGGUAAUACGGAGGGUGCGAGCGUUAAUCGGAAUUACUGGGCGUAAAGCGCGCGUAGGCGGUCUGAUAAGCCGGUUGUGAAAGCCCCGGGCUCAACCUGGGAACGGCAUCCGGAACUGUCAGGCUAGAGUGCAGGAGAGGAAGGUAGAAUUCCCGGUGUAGCGGUGAAAUGCGUAGAGAUCGGGAGGAAUACCAGUGGCGAAGGCGGUCUUCUGGACUGACACUGACGCUGAGGUGCGAAGGCGUGGGUAGCAAACAGGAUUAGAUACCCCGGUAGUC